AAUCCAUACCUUCCUUGAAAAAUCAUCAAUGAAUGUGACAAAGUACCUUGCACCUCCUAUUGAUGGCGUCCUCAUAGUCUACAAACAUCAGAAUGGACUAUCUCCAACAACUUGGUUGCACAUGUUGUAAUUCUAUUUGGAAAUAUAGCCUUUUGUUGUUUGCCUUAAAUACAACCUUCACAAGCAAGUAUCAUAGCAUUGUGGCUUAUAUGACCAAGAUCUAAGCCACUUACCAUGGAUUGGAGCUCCUUCAUGCUCUUGGUAUUCAAAUGACGAAGGCAUCGAUGCCAAAUACCAAACUUAUCUUAAUUUUGAGAAAAUUUAGCAAAUACCGCCACUUCAACUCCAUUCACAUUCUUAU
rnacentral:lncRNA from 1 species